rnacentral:rRNA from 1 species
GAUGAACGCUGGCGGCGUGCCUAACACAUGCAAGUCGAACGGAAAGGCUCCUGCUUGCAGGGGUACUCGAGUGGCGAACGGGUGAGUAACACGUGGGUGAUCUGCCCUGCACUUCGGGAUAAGCCUGGGAAACUGGGUCUAAUACCGGAUAGGACGAUGGUUUGGAUGCCAUUGUGGAAAGUUUUUCGGUGUGGGAUGAGCUCGCGGCCUAUCAGCUUGUUGGUGGGGUAAUGGCCUACCAAGGCGUCGACGGGUAGCCGGCCUGAGAGGGUGUACGGCCACAUUGGGACUGAGAUACGGGCCAGACUCCUACGGGAGGCAGCAGUGGGGAAUAUUGCACAAUGGGCGCAAGCCUGAUGCAGCGACGCCGCGUGGGGGAUGACGGCCUUCGGGUUGUAAACUCCUUUCGCUAGGGACGAAGCGCAAGUGACGGUACCUGGAGAAGAAGCACCGGCUAACUACGUG